rnacentral:rRNA from 1 species
UUCCGGUUGAUCCCGCCGGACCUGACUGCUAUCGGAUUGAUACUAAGCCAUGCGAGUCAUUGUAGUAAUACAAGGCAGACGGCUCAGUAACGCGUAGUCAACCUACCCUAUGGACGGGGAUAACCUCGGGAAACUGAGAAUAAUACCCGAUAGAACAUUAUGCCUGGAAUGGUUUAUGUUUCAAAUAAUUUAUUGCCGUAGGAUGGGACUGCGGCCUAUCAGUUUGUUGGUGAGGUAAUGGCCCACCAAGACUAUUACAGGUACGGGCUCUGAGAGGAGUAGCCCGGAGAUGGGUACUGAGACACGGACCCAGGCCCUAUGGGGCGCAGCAGGCGAGAAAACUUUGCAAUGUGCGAAAGCACGACAAGGUUAAUCCGAGUGGUUUCUGCUAAAGGAACCUUUUGUCAGUCCUAGAAACACUGAUGAAUAAGGGGUGGGCAAGUUCUGGUGUCAGCCGCCGCGGUAAAACCAGCACCUCAAGUGGUCAGGAUGAUAUUGGGCCUAAAGCAUCCGUAGCCUGCUUUGUAAGUUUUCGGUUAAAUCCAUACGCUCAACGUAUGGGCUGCCGGGAAUACUGCAAAGCUAGGGAGUGGGAGAGGUAGACGGUACUCGGUAGGAAGGGGUAAAAUCCUUUGAUCUAUUGAUGACCACCUGUGGCGAAGGCGGUCUACCAGAACACGUCCGACGGUGAGGGAUGGAAGCUGGGGGAGCAAACCGGAUUAGAUACCCGGGUAGUCCCAGCUGUAAACUAUGCAAACUCAGUGAUGCAUUGGCUUGAUGCCAAUGCAGUGCUGCAGGGAAGCCGUUAAGUUUGCCGCCUGGGAAGUACGUACGCAAGUAUGAAACUUAAAGGAAUUGGCGGGGGAGCACCACAAGGGUGAAGCCUGCGGUUCAAUUGGAGUCAACGCCGGAA